rnacentral:pre_miRNA from 1 species
CUGGCGAUUUUGCGAAGGAAUGUAGAAUUAGGAAUUCGGAUAGCUGUUUAUAAAUAGAUGCUUUCGAAUUUCAAUUUUCAUUCUCCCGCAAGGUCAGCCACAGA